rnacentral:rRNA from 1 species
GAUGAAUGCUGGCGGCGUGCUUAACACAUGCAAGUCGAGCGGUAACAGGAGUAGUUUACUACUUGCUGACGAGCGGCGGACGGCUGAGUAACGCGUGGGAACAUGCCCCAAAGUGAGGAAUAACUGCCCGAAAGGGUAGCUAAUGCCGCAUAUGAUCUUCGGAUUAAAGGAUUUAUCCGCUUUGGGAGUGGCCUGCGUAUGAUUAGGUAGUUGGUGAGGUAAUGGCUCACCAAGCCGACGAUCAUUAGCUGGUCUGAGAGGAUGACCAGCCAGACUGGAACUGGGACACGGUCCAGACUCCUACGGGAGGCAGCAGUGAGGAAUAUUCCACAAUGGGCGAAAGCCUGAUGGAGCAACGCCGCGUGAAGGAUGAAGGCCCUCGGGUUGUAAACUUCUUUUAUAAGUGAAGAAUAUGACGGUAACUUAUGAAUAAGCACCGGCUAACUACGUGCCAGCCGCCGCUGUAACA